UACGAAGGGGGGCUAGCGUUGCUCGGAAUCACUGGGCGUAAAGGGUGCGUAGGCGGGUCUUUAAGUCAGGGGUGAAAUCCUGGAGCUCAACUCCAGAACUGCCUUUGAUACUGAGGAUCUUGAGUCCGGGAGAGGUGAGUGGAACUGCGAGUGUAGAGGUGAAAUUCGUAGAUAUUCGCAAGAACACCAGUGGCGAAGGCGGCUCACUGGCCCGGUACUGACGCUGAGGCACGAAAGCGUGGGGAGCAAACGGGG
rnacentral:rRNA from 1 species